AAACUCAAAGGAAUUGACGGGGACCCGCACAAGCGGUGGAUGAUGUGGAUUAAUUCGAUGCAACGCGAAAAACCUUACCUACCCUUGACAUGUAUGGAAUUCUGCUGAGAGGUGGAAGUGCCUGAAAGGGAACCAUAACACAGGUGCUGCAUGGCUGUCGUCAGCUCGUGUCGUGAGAUGUUGGGUUAAGUCCCGCAACGAGCGCAACCCUUGUUAUUAAUUGCCAUCAUUUAGUUGGGCACUUUAAUAAGACUGACGGUGAUAAACCGUAGGAAGGUGGGGAUGACGUCAAGUCCUCAUGGCCCUUACGGGUAGGGCUUCACACGUCAUACAAUGGUCGGUACAGAGGGUAGCCAACCCGCGAGGGGGAGCCAAUCUCAGAAAGCCGAUCGUAGUCCGGAUUGUUCUCUGCAACUCGAGAGCAUGAAGUCGGAAUCGCUAGUAAUCGCGGAUCAGCAUGUCGCGGUGAAUACGUUCCCGGGUCUUGUACACACCGCCCGUCACACCAUGGGAGUGGGUGAUACCAGAAGUAGGUAGUCUAUCCGCAAGGAGGGCGCUUACCACGGUAUGAUUCAUGACUGGGGUGAAGUCGUAACAAGGUAACCGUA
rnacentral:rRNA from 1 species